rnacentral:rRNA from 1 species
GAUGAACGCUAGCUACAGGCUUAACACAUGCAAGUCGCAGGGUAACAUGAGGAAAGCUUGCUUUCCUUGAUGCCGACUGGCGCACGGGUGAGUAACGCGUAUCCAACCUUCCCAUAACUACGGGAUAACCCGUUGAAAGACGGCCUAAUACCGUAUGAUAUCGUUUGCUGACAUCAAAUAACGAUUAAAGGUUUAGCGGUUAUGGAUGGGGAUGCGUCUGAUUAGCUUGUUGGCGGGGUAACGGCCCACCAAGGCGACGAUCAGUAGGGGUUCUGAGAGGAAGGUACCCCACAUUGGAACUGAGACACGGUCCAAACGCCUACGGGAGGCAGCAGUGAGGAAUAUUGGUCAAUGGGCGAGAGCCUGAACCAGCCAAGUAGCGUGCAGGACGACGGCCCUAUGGGUUGUAAACUGCUUUUAGGGGGGGAUAAAGUGCGUGACGUGUCAUGCAUUGCAGGUACCACAUGAAUAAGGACCGGCUAAUUCCGUG